rnacentral:lncRNA from 1 species
CUACCCUUGGCAUGUCUUUUAGGCCAAGUUGUUGCGUUCGUCAGAAAACUUUGCAUCUACCAUGGUCUACGCCUUUAUCGUCGCACGUCUGGAUUAGGCGGAAUAGUACAUCAUGAGAAUGACUACAUGCGUUUGAAAGUAAAACUUGAGCUUCCAGGUUGCAACAACUAUCGCCAAAGUUAGUUUUUGAAUUUCUGAUAACAUCAACGAGAGCUUUUAAACUGUGGAAUACAAUUGAUAGCAUCGAUGAGAGCUUUUAAACUGUGGAAUACAGAUAGUUGGGCCUCCAACUAUACUCGUAUGAUGGUAGAGCUUAUUGCUGCUUCAGAUGUGACUACUCGUCCAAUCAGACUUUGAAUCUCCUUCAAAGUAGUGAGGAACUUCAUAUUCAAGAUCACUCGGAUUUGCCUUGAAUGGGCAUCGGCGAACUUCAUCCCAAAGUGCAUGCUUUUCUGCCAGAGUGAAAGAGUCUGCCAAAGUUAGAUCUUCUUUCAUUAUCAGUUUUUCGAACAGUACGUAGUCUGCUGGAAGCCCUUUUUGGAAGGUUGCUCUAGCUUUCGAGUCGUUGCAUCCGACUAUCCUUGCAUUCUUUACUUUGAACCUCCUCACAUAGUCGUGAAGCGACUCCUUUCGGUUCUUCUUGACGUCAAACAAAUGGUCGGACUUCUUUUUGAUCGAGCGACAGGAUGAUAUUCUUUGGUGAAAACCAAAGAAAGUUCAUCGAAAUUCCGGAUGGAUUGUGGCGGCAGGGUAUAGAACCAAUCUUGCGCCUCACCUUAUAAAGUGGUGGUGAAUAUCUUGCACAUGAGAUCAUCGUUGUUUUGAUAGAUGAUCAUUGCUCUUCAGUAAUGCUUUAAGUGUCUCUUCGGGUCUUCAUCCCCUUUGAAAUAUGUGAAAUAUGGCAUGUUGAACUUGUGUUAAGGCUCUGCCUGCUUGAUCUCGUCCAUGAAGGGUGACCUGCUUAUGUUGGUCAUGUUCCGUCGUAAUACCUCGUUGAUGACCUCGUUGCGUUAAAAUGUGCACAAUCGCUUGGUCAAGAGUCUCUCUACUUCUUCUUGAAUUUACCUUUGUUGAGGUAGUUGAGCUCUUAGCCCCCCAACCAUGACUUGAUGGUCUAGGCUACUCUUCCAUGUGUUUGGCUCGUCUAUGUCGCGAAUGCAGUGCUUGUAGCGCGUUCCUAGCAGGCGAGCGAGUUUAUCGCAGGCUGCCAGUUAAACUUGAGCCGUAUUGAGUGACUAUUUCUCUCCGUCCAUCAUGCUGCCUACUCUGAUGUGAGAUGGAUAAUGCUCCUUGCGAGCUUAGCCGUGAAUGAACACUUCACUUGGAAAGUUGCUCAUGUUGACUAUCGGAAUGUGACCCCAACCGUGAAUGUAUGCUCGUUUGUAGGCUUAGUCGAGAGUGCACACUC